rnacentral:rRNA from 1 species
UACAGAGGUCCCGAGCGUUGUCCGGAUUUAUUGGGUUUAAAGGGUGCGUAGGUGGUUCCAUAAGUCAGUGGUGAAAUACGGCAGCUCAACUGUCGAGGUGCCAUUGAUACUGCGGAACUUGAGUACAGACGAGGUAGGCGGAAUUGACGGUGUAGCGGUGAAAUGCUUAGAUAUCGUCAAGAACACCGAUAGCGAAGGCAGCUUACUAGACUGUAACUGACACUGAGGCACGAAAGUGUGGGGAUCAAACAGG